CAAUGCCCCAGCAUCAUAUGUGGUUAAAGAAAAUCUGUUUCUGAGUUGUUUUUGUGGGUGUGGUCCACAGACAGAAUUGGUGACACAUCAGGGAAGAUGGCCAGCCGACCAAGAGCAAGUGGGGUACAAAGUGAUCUCACCACGGCAGCACAGGUGGGCCUGAAAAUUCUCCCAUGACUGAGAAGAAACUGACAGCAAUCACAUAGACUUCAUCACUAAACAAGUAGAAAACAUCAAAUAGGUAAUGGAAAAUGCUGAAUGAGGAUAGGAGGAAACAUUUAAA
rnacentral:lncRNA from 1 species